rnacentral:rRNA from 1 species
AACGAACGCUGGCGGCAGGCCUAACACAUGCAAGUCGAACGCCGUAGCAAUACGGAGUGGCAGACGGGUGAGUAACACGUGGGAACGUACCCUCGGUUCGGGAUAACUCAGGGAAACUUGAGCUAAUACCGGAUACGUCCGAGAGGAGAAAGAUUUAUUGCCGAGGGAUCGGCCCGCGUCUGAUUAGCUUGUUGGUGAGGUAACGGCUCACCAAGGCGACGAUCAGUAGCUGGUCNGAGAGGAUGAUCAGCCACAUUGGGACUGAGACACGGCCCAAACUCCUACGGGAUGCAGCAGUGGGGAAUAUUGGACAAUGGGCGCAAGCCUGAUCCAGCCAUGCCGCGUGAGUGAU